ACACUGCUGAAGAGUCCCAAACUAGGACGAAACAGCUGUCCAGUAC
rnacentral:hammerhead_ribozyme from 1 species